ensembl:lncRNA
CCAUUGGAAUUGGUUCAUCCUUUAAUGCCUCUGGGAAAUCCCGAGCUGGGGAAUGUCCUGCUCUCUGCUGAGAGACAGCAGGAAAGUAGGUCGUCCUCUGUUUUCUCGUUGAUACAGCUCUUCUAAGUAUGGCUGAUUGUUGAGUGAAGACACAGGAUACUUCUGGUGUGUUGGACAACUAGGUGCCCAUGACCAACUCCUCAUUGUGGAUGGAUUUAGUCUGGUUGGACUUUCUCAGGAAAGGCAGCUGAACUCAUGACUAGUACCAGUUCCACGGUUACCCUGGAAGUUGCAAAUCAAGACAUCCUCUCUCACUGCCUGUCCACCUUUCUUACCCACC